rnacentral:tRNA from 24 species
GGAGCGGUAUCGAAGUGGUCAUAACGGGGCUGACUCGAAAUCAGUUAGGCCGAAAGGUCUCGUGGGUUCGAAUCCCACCCGCUCCGCCA